CUCUGCAACUCGAGAGCAUGAAGGCGGAAUCGCUAGUAAUCGCGGAUCAGCAUGCCGCGGUGAAUACGUUCCCAGGCCUUGUACACACCGCCCGUCACACCAUGGGAGUUGGAUUGACCCGAAGGUGGUGAGCUAACCCGCAAGGGAGGCAG
rnacentral:rRNA from 1 species